rnacentral:lncRNA from 1 species
UUCAUUAGAUGCGGAUGCAACAUAUAGAAUCCAUUAUUAUAAUUAUUUAAGCAAUAUAGCAAUGUAUAGCUUGACUUUCUUUUCCACUUCCACCUAUUUUUUUUUUUUUUUUGGUUCGGACAAAGUCAUGUUAGAUGUUAGAAAUUAGUUCCCCAUCCACUCCAAGAACCACCUUAUCUCUCCAUUCACCAAAUCCACCUUAUAUCUCCAAUCUC